CAACCACUGCGCCACCAGGGAAGCCUGGCUACUACAGAUAAAGCUGCUAUGAACAAUCAGGCACACAAUGCUGUGUGGGCAAAUUCUUUCAUUUCUCUGGGAUAAAUGUCCAGGAGUACAACUGCUGAGUUAUAUGAACUCGUCUAGAUUUUGCCUUUUAAUAACUACUCUCUAGUUUCGUCAUCUGGAUUACAUCAGUCAUGCAGCAUGAACUGGGAAAAUUCUGUUAAGGAUUAUUGAAGUUUUUAUCCAAGGAGCUAACAGAUUGUAAGUGCUGGCUUAUAAAAAGGAGCUUUUUUGCUAAAUUUAACUUUCCCACUCAUUAAUGGUCUUUUCAGGCUUGAUUAUGUUUUAUCAAUUUCAAUAAAGUUCACUUUCUAGACAAUAAUUAACUGGAAUUUUGUAUAUAUUGAAAUAAAUUUACAUAAUAUUUCCUCACAAAGAACAACAUCAGUAUCUGUGUUAAUAAUAUCCCUCUUGUUAUUCAUGCUGCUAUAAUUGUGUCAUUUUUCUUUUCUUUUAUCAAAUUUGGAAAAAUUGGGUAAGUCUAUGAGUGUUUUUUAAAAUUAAUUUCUAGUUUAAAUUGUAUUAACUACUUCCUUCUGUUAGCAUUCGUUUUAUUUUGUAAUUUAAAAAAUUUUUCACUUGACUGCUUAUUUUUUUCAGGUUUUAUCAAGUGCCUAAUAUAUGAGAAAGACACUAGAAUAGGUGCUGAGGUGGGAGAUAACAAAAAGUCCCAUCCCUUAAUUU